ensembl:lncRNA
UUCCAUUUUGUUGCAGUUAUUGUCAUUAUCACCUUGAGAUAAAUUUUUCUUCAGGCUCAAACAAAACCAAGUAAUCAGAGUCAGGUACAAAGGCUUUAACUGCUUGAACUCUGGACCCUUUCAAAGCUUGUUUGAAUUGCUGCUUGCACCUCCCUGCUCCUUAAAACAGACUGCAAACUGCCUUCGUGCCAAAACUCAAGACUGCAAUGGCAACACCAGAUGUGGAUUAAAACCACAGCUUAAUGUAAAGAUACUACAGUGCACGGAUAAGGUAUGUGUUGAGAAUGGUACCGUUUGUACAGAAAUCCUUAUUGUUGUUCAUGUGCAUAAAUGCAGUUUGGUAUAUGUGUGAGAACUGAAACAUCAAAGUUUGGGUCUUCUCUUAUAUUACUGAAUACAGUAACAAUUCAUUUAAAGCUUUGAUUACUUUUUUGCUUUGGGGGUCAGCACUAUUGUAAGAAGUUAUGAGCUCAGCUCAGCAGCUGCUCCGUUCUCAGAGAGACUUAUUGCUGAAGUGGACAUGUGACCAUCCAGCGCCCUUGCUGCGUUGGCUCCGUGAUGCCGAGGUGCUUUCGUCUGCCUGCUACCUGUCUUUGCUGGAGAGGUCGCCUUCCAAUGCUGUGGCAAAGGCACUGGAGACAGUGUGUGCCACAGAGGACAGCAGCCAAAAGUUCCUGCAGGUGUUGAGGGAAGUGCAGGAUUACUACUGCAGAGACCUGCAGGUCUGGGUCGAGAGACACUGCAGGAACGAUGCAGUCACUAAAUCAGCACCUACAUCUGUGAAAGUUGAAGGUGAGGCUGCUUUAAUGUGCUGGUUUUUACAUAAACAGGUGUAACUGAAGUUAAUCUUCUUUGCAACCUUGAGCUGAUCGUGAGGGGCUGUUAAUAGAAGACAACUUUUACAACCUAUUGAGGAAAGACAUGAAAGAAGAUUAGAUGCAGGGUACAAUCAGCUUUGAUGCCUCGCCAGGAUUUUUUUUUUUUUUUUUUUUUUUACUUUGGUGAGAGUUUUAAGAGAUAAUGGACAUUGAGCUCAACUAUCAUAAGUUAAAAUGUGUCAGUGAUUUGGAUAUUUGGAUCAGGUAUUCAUAGUUCCCUGAUGAUGAGACUCAGGGAUAUGAAAAUGCUCAGUCAGCAGAGUCACCUGUGAAUCUGACAUUUUAAACAAAUGCAUAUAAAAUAACUAUAAAUUAUUCUAUGAUUUCAACAGACAAGAAGUCCAAAAACCCCAUUGCUAAACUGUUUAAAGCAAAGAGCAAAGGAUUCACCCUCACCACUGACGUUAAUGGUAUGAAUUCAUUGUUUCAUCAAAAAAAAUGUUUACAUAUGAAUUAUAUAGUAGUGUACGUUAUUUCUGGUAUGUUUUCUUUAUAGAGAUAAGCAAUAAAUGUUGUCCUGUUUUUUUAAAUUUAUAAUUCCUGGUUUCAUUUUUUGCUGUAUAUGGAAUAUGUGUAUGAAUUUGAAUGUAUGCCUUGAUUUACCGUUAUACUGUAAAAAAGGGUUAUUCUGAACUGUUAAUCACACAAACUUCUCUACUUGAGUCUAUAAAAAAAUGUAUAUAGAGCUGGAAAUGGACAUAAUCAGUCAAUUUAAAAUGUAAACUGACAUUAGGCAAAUGCAAUUUUUCGUGAUUUGAUUCCUGUGCUUGCAAUCAAGUAAGGAGAUCUGACUUUCAUAUUGCAGCUAAGGAAGAGCCAAAAUCUUGCAGAAGUCUAAAGUUGGCCAGCAUCCGAGGUAGGAUGAAAACAGGUCAAC